rnacentral:lncRNA from 1 species
UUUUCACUAGCCCUCCCCUGAUUUCCACUGGCAGGACUUUUCUAUCUUAACUGGCACAGACAUGAAGGAUAUCGUUACUAUGUUCACUGCAUAAAGUGAAAAAGAUAUGCAUUUCCUGCUACUCUUUUUAAGGCACAGUAUUCUCAUUUUUUUAAAAAGUUUUUCAGGUACAAAAAUUGUAGCCCAACUUAUUUUAUCCUAAGCAAAGAUGCAUAAAGGAAAAACGGAAAACAGGAGACUAGCCACAACCUGCAGAGGAACAGCAUCAAAUGUUACAUGGGAUUUAACAAAUGUUACACAGUGAAAAAAGAUUUCACUGUGAAUACAAGAUACUUUGCCAAAGCCACGCAUGGCAAAGCCUCUGUGUGGCUGAAAGCAAAGCUGGGGUAAAC